AAAUAAUGCUUUCACAUAUUGGGCAUUCAUUAAAUUGACUUCUCAAUGUAAUUACUUUAACAUUUCUAUUUCUGAUUCAGUACAGAUUUUUGGAUCAUUAAAUUAGAUAGUAAAUAUUAUACAUUUUUCAGGAAGGUAAUUUAUGGUCUAACAAAUUCUCCAGCAGAGAGUAAGAAUGUCUGAUGACCAGACCAGCAUUUUCUGUAAUAAAGUGUUAGAACUCAAAAUCAUUCUUUAAAACCAUUUUAACAAAUAUGUAUUGUGCACCUGCUCCAUGAGGCAUUUCACAGUAAAUUAGCACAUAAUUGACACACAGCAGUGAUUUCAUAUACCUCUGUAUUCCCAUAGGAUUUUGAGAAUACUCUUUAUACAUUAUAUAUUACAUCAUCUAUAUGUUAUACAUCAUAUAAUAAUUACUUUGAGUGUGAGUUUUCAUUCCCACAUGAAUUGCAACAAUGGUACUGUCGCUGCCUACAAGGAACUCACAACUUCGGAAGAAAAGCACAUACGCAACUAAACAAGUAUCAAUAAAGCACAGUAAGAAGACAGAUAAAGUUGCAAU
rnacentral:lncRNA from 1 species